AACCCAUCCAGAGCGACUGAGAGACCUGGCUCGUUGACGUCGCAGCAACCGGUUUAUGCACGGUGCUCCCGCCAGGAACGAUGGAAA
rnacentral:ncRNA from 2 species